AACGAACGCUGGCGGCAGGCUUAACACAUGCAAGUCGAACGCCCCGCAAGGGGAGUGGCAGACGGGUGAGUAACGCGUGGGAAUCUACCCAUCCCUACGGAACAACUCCGGGAAACUGGAGCUAAUACCGUAUACGCCAUUAGGGGGAAAGAUUUAUCGGGGAUGGAUGAGCCCGCGUUGGAUUAGCUAGUUGGUGGGGUAAAGGCCUACCAAGGCGACGAUCCAUAGCCGGUCUGAGAGGAUGAGCAGCCACAUUGGGACUGAGACACGGCCCAAACUCCUACGGGAGGCAGCCGUGGGGAAUAUUGGACAAUGGGCGCAAGCCUGAUCCAGCCAUGCCGCGUGAGUGAUGAAGGCCUUAGGGUUGUAAAGCUCUUUCACCGAUGAAGAUAAUGACGGUAGUCGUAGAAGAAGCCCCGGCUAACUUCGUGCCAGCCGCCGCGGUAAUAC
rnacentral:rRNA from 1 species